AUAACUGUAGCUCAGUGGUAGAAGAGCGUUCCGACUAGUGUUCGGAGAGGUCAUGUGGUUCGACUCCUGUUGGCUUUG